rnacentral:sRNA from 1 species
AAAAAAAUAUUCGAAUUAAAUAUUUGGCAUUUAACAAUGUUCCCUAAAUCUCUCCACAUUAACUACACGAUUAGUUCCUAAAAUAAAACUUUCAAAAUAUUUAAUAUCAUUUAAUUACUACAAAAUUAUCAUUUUUGAUAUUGCUUUUCUCCAUGACUAUAACAAUUCGAUUAUAAUCAUCAAAUCGCAGAGAUAUAUGAUAGCAUUUACUUA